AUUGAACGCUGGCGGCAUGCCUUACACAUGCAAGUCGAACGGCAGCACGGAGCUUGCUCUGGUGGCGAGUGGCGAACGGGUGAGUAAUAUAUCGGAACGUACCCUGGAGUGGGGGAUAACGUAGCGAAAGUUACGCUAAUACCGCAUACGAUCUACGGAUGAAAGUGGGGGAUCGCAAGACCUCAUGCUCGUGGAGCGGCCGAUAUCUGAUUAGCUAGUUGGUAGGGUAAAAGCCUACCAAGGCAUCGAUCAGUAGCUGGUCUGAGAGGACGACCAGCCACACUGGAACUGAGACACGGUCCAGACUCCUACGGGAGGCAGCAGUGGGGAAUUUUGGACAAGGGGCGAAAGCCUGAUCCAGCAAUGCCGCGUGAGUGAAGAAGGCCUUCGGGUUGUAAAGCUCUUUUGUCAGGGAAGAAACGGUGAGGGCUAAUAUCCCUUGCUAAUGACGGUACCUGAAGAAUAAGCACCGGCUAACUACGUGCCAGCCGCCGCAGUAAAAC
rnacentral:rRNA from 1 species